UCCCCGGUGGUCCAGUGGAUAAAACUCUGCACUCCAAAUGCAGGGGGUCCAGGUUUGAUCCCUGGUUGGAGAA
rnacentral:tRNA from 1 species